UAGAGUUUGAUCCUGGCUCAGGAUGAACGCCGGCGGUGUGCCUAAUACAUGCAAGUCGUACGCACUGGCCCAACUGAUUGAUGGUGCUUGCACCUGAUUGACGAUGGAUCACCAGUGAGUGGCGGACGGGUGAGUAACACGUAGGUAACCUGCCCCGGAGCGGGGGAUAACAUUUGGAAACAGAUGCUAAUACCGCAUAACAACAAAAGCCACAUGGCUUUUGUUUGAAAGAUGGCUUUGGCUAUCACUCUGGGAUGGACCUGCGGUGCAUUAGCUAGUUGGUAAGGUAACGGCUUACCAAGGCGAUGAUGCAUAGCCGAGUUGAGAGACUGAUCGGCCACAAUGGAACUGAGACACGGUCCAUACUCCUACGGGAGGCAGCAGUAGGGAAUCUUCCACAAUGGGCGCAAGCCUGAUGGAGCAACACCGCGUGAGUGAAGAAGGGUUUCGGCUCGUAAAGCUCUGUUGUUGGAGAAGAACGUGCGUGAGAGUAACUGUUCACGCAGUGACGUAUCCACAGAAUGACCGAU
rnacentral:rRNA from 2 species